rnacentral:SRP_RNA from 1 species
CACCACAGCCGGAGCCGCCACUGGUGAUGCCACAGGUGGUCAUGAUGAAGGAGACGCCAAGAGCUAUGGCAGCCCCGGGAGGCAGCUUCGUGGACAAGGACUUUCCUGCUGCCCCCGAGAGCAUUGGUGGAGUU